AAACUCACCUCAGACUGGCAAGCCUGAGAGGGAGGAAUAUAGUCAGAGUCACCCCAUAAAUAGAGGAGGAACAUAAUGAUAUUGACAUGCCAAGUGUAAAUCAAAAAUAAUUUCAAAUCACAAUAUUUAAAUAUUUCAUACAAACCACAAAUCACAUUUUAUCUCAAAAUUUCAAUUUACAAAGUGGCAACACAAUAAUUUCCAAAUAAAAUUCCCAAAGCCAAAACAAUUAAAAACUAUUCAUAUUGCAUACUAAAUCAAAUUUCAAUAAGAAAUACUUAAAUAAGUUUAUUGUGCACAAACUUGAUUUGAGUCGCCUCUAGGCCUUGACUCAGUCUCUCCGA
rnacentral:misc_RNA from 1 species